rnacentral:rRNA from 1 species
AGAGUUUGAUCCUGGCUCAGGAUGAACGCUGGCGGCGUGCCUAAUACAUGCAAGUCGAACGCACAGCGAAAGGUGCUUGCACCUUUCAAGUGAGUGGCGAACGGGUGAGUAACACGUGGAUAACCUACCUCAAGGUUGGGGAUAACAUUUGGAAACAGAUGCUAAUACCGAAUAAAACUUCGUAUCGCAUGAUACAAGGUUAAAAGGCGCUACGGCGUCACCUAGAGAUGGAUCCGCGGUGCAUUAGUUAGUUGGUGGGGUAAAGGCCUACCAAGACAAUGAUGCAUAGCCGAGUUGAGAGACUGAUCGGCCACAUUGGGACUGAGACACGGCCCAAACUCCUACGGGAGGCUGCAGUAGGGAAUCUUCCACAAUGGGCGAAAGCCUGAUGGAGCAACGCCGCGUGUGUGAUGAAGGCUUUCGGGUCGUAAAGCACUGUUGUAUGGGAAGAACAGCUAGAGUAGGGAAUGACUUUAGUUUGACGGUACCAUACCAGAAAGGGACGGCUAAAUACGUGCCAGCAGCCGCGGUAAUACGUAUGUCCCGAGCGUUAUCCGGAUUUAUUGGGCGUAAAGCGAGCGCAGACGGUUGAUUAAGUCUGAUGUGAAAGCCCGGAGCUCAACUCCGGAAAGGCAUUGGAAACUGGUCAACUUGAGUGCAGUAGAGGUAAGUGGAACUCCAUGUGUAGCGGUGGAAUGCGUAGAUAUAUGGAAGAACACCAGCGGCGAAGGCGGCUUACUGGACUGUAACUGACGUUGAGGCUCGAAAGUGUGGGUAGCAAACAGGAUUAGAUACCCUGGUAGUCCACACCGUAAACGAUGAACACCAGGUGUUAGGAAGGUUCCGCCCUCUAAUUGCCGAA